GGGGUGCUGUGGGGCUCCCUAUGGGGCUGUAUAGGUCCCCGAGGGGCUCUAUGGGGCGCUGUGGGGCUGUAUGGGUCCCUGUAGGGCUCUAUGGGGUGCUGUGGGGAUCCCUAUGGGGCUGUAUGGGUCCCUGUGGGGCUCUAUGGGGCUCAAUAGGUCCCUAUGGGGCUCUAUGGGGCGCUGUGGGUCUCCCUGUGGGGCUGUAUGGGUCCCUGUGGGGCUCUAUGGGGUGCUGUGGGGCUCCCUAUGGGGCUGUAUAGGUCCCUGUGGGGCUCUGUGGGUCCUUGUGGGGCUCUAUGCGUCCCUGUGGGGCUCUGUGAGUCCUUAUGGGGCUCUGUGGGUCCCUGUGGGGCUCUCUGGGUCCCUAUGGGGUGCUGUGGGGCUCCCUAUGGGGCGCUGUGGGUCUCCCUGUGGGGCUCUAUGGGUCCCUGUGGGGCUCUAUGGGGUGCUGUGGGGCUCCCUAUGGGGCUCUAUGGGUCCCUGUGGGGCUCCCUAUGGGGCUGUAUGGGUCCCUGUGGGGCUCAAUGGGGCGCUGUGGGGCCGUAUGGGUCCCUGUGGGGCUCUAUGGGGUGCUGUGCGGAUCCCUAUGGGGCUGUAUGGAUCCCUGUGGGGCUCUAUGAGGCUCAAUAGGUCCCUAUGGGGCGCUGUGGGUCUCCCUGUGGGGCUCUAUGGGUCCCUAUGGGGCUCUAUGGGAUGCUGUGGGGCUGUAUGGGUCCCUGUGGGGCUGUAUGGGGUGCUGUGGGGAUCCCUAUGGGGCUGUAUGGGUCCCUGUGGGGCUCUAUGAGGCUCAAUAGAUCCCUAUGGGGCUCUAUGGGGCGCUGUGGGUCUCCCUGUGGGGCGCUGUGGGUCCCUAUGGGGCUCUAUGGGGUGCUGUGGGGCUCCCUAUGGGGUUGUAUGGGUCCCUAUGGAGCUCUGUGGGU
ensembl:lncRNA